UACGCUGGCGGCGUGCUUAUWCAUGCAAGUCGAACGGUGAACACGGAGCUUGCUCUGUGGGAUCAGUGGCGAACGGGUGAGUAACACGUGAGCAACCUGCCCCUGACUCUGGGAUAAGCGCUGGAAACGGCGUCUAAUACUGGAUACGAACCACGAAGGCAUCUUCAGUGGUUGGAAAGAAUUUCGGUUGGGGAUGGGCUCGCGGCCUAUCAGCUUGUUGGUKWGGUAAUGGCUCACCAAGGCGUCGACGGGUAGCCGGCCUGAGAGGGUGACCGGCCACACUGGGACUGAGACACGGCCCAGACUCCUACGGGAGGCAGCAGUGGGGAAUAUUGCACAAUGGGCGAAAGCCUGAUGCAGCAACGCCGCGUGAGGGAUGACGGCCUUCGGGUUGUAAACCUCUUUUAGCAGGGAAGAAGCGAAAGUGACGGUHCCUGCAGAAAAAGCGCCGGCUAACUACGUGCCAGCAGCCGYGGUAAUACCGUAGGGCGCAAGCCUUUAUUCCGGAAU
rnacentral:rRNA from 1 species